GACGAACGCUGGCGGCGUGCUUAACACAUGCCAGUCGAACGGAAAGGCCCUGCUUUUGUGGGGUGCUCGAGUGGCGAACGGGUGAGUAACACGUGAGUAACCUGCCCUUGACUUUGGGAUAACUUCAGGAAACUGGGGCUAAUACCGGAUAGGAGCUCCUGCUGCAUGGUGGGGGUUGGAAAGUUUCGGCGGUUGGGGAUGGACUCGCGGCUUAUCAGCUUGUUGGUGGGGUAGUGGCUUACCAAGGCUUUGACGGGUAGCCGGCCUGAGAGGGUGACCGGCCACAUUGGGACUGAGAUACGGCCCAGACUCCUACGGGAGGCAGCAGUGGGGAAUAUUGCACAAUGGGCGGAAGCCUGAUGUAGCAACGCCGCGUGCGGGAUGACGGCCUUCGGGUUGUAAACCGCUUUCGCCUGUGACGAAGCGUGAGUGACGGUAAUGGGUAAAGAAGCACCGGCUAACUACGUG
rnacentral:rRNA from 1 species